CUUGUUGGUGGGGUGAUGGCCUACCAAGGCGACGACGGGUAGCCGGCCUGAGAGGGUGACCGGCCACACUGGGACUGAGACACGGCCCAGACUCCUACGGGAGGCAGCAGUGGGGAAUAUUGCGCAAUGGGCGGAAGCCUGACGCAGCGACGCCGCGUGGGGGAUGAAGGCCUUCGGGUUGUAAACCUCUUUCAGCACCGACGAAACUAGACGGUAGGUGCAGAAGAAGCGCCGGCUAACUACGUGCCAGCAGCCGCGGUAAUACGUAGGGCGCAAGCGUUGUCCGGAAUUAUUGGGCGUAAAGAGCUCGUAGGCGGUUUGUCGCGUCGAGUGUGAAAGCCCGGGGCUUAACUCCGGGUCUGCAUUCGAUACGGGCAGACUAGAGGCAGGUAGGGGAGAACGGAAUUCCCGGUGUAGCGGUGAAAUGCGCAGAUAUCGGGAGGAACACCGGUGGCGAAGGCGGUUCUCUGGGCCUGUACUGACGCUGAGGAGCGAAAGCGUGGGGAGCGAACAGGAUUAGAUACCCUGGUAGUCCACGCCGUAAACGUUGGGCGCUAGGUGUGGGGUCCUUCCACGGAUUCCGCGCCGUAGCUAACGCAUUAAGCGCCCCGCCUGGGGAGUACAA
rnacentral:rRNA from 1 species